UGGACGAAAGGCUUGCCGCCUUAGGAUGGCUCUGCGACCUAUCAGGUGUAGGGAGGGUAACGGCCUCCCUAGCCUACGACGGGUACGGGCGUUGAGAGACGUCGCCCGGAGAUGAACUCUGAGACACGAGUUCAGGCCCUACGGGGCGCAGCAGGCGCGAAAACUGCACAAUGCUGGAAACAGCGAUGCGGGAAUUCCAAGUGCCAGCACUGAGUGUUGGCUGUUCCAUUGUCUAAAAAACAUAGGAAGUAAGGGCUGGGUAAGACGGGUGCCAGCCGCCGCGGUAAUACCUGCAGCCCGAGUGGUGGCCGUUAUUAUUGGGCCUAAAACGUCCGUAGCCUGUUUGGUAGAUGCCUAUGUAAAUCGAACGGCUCAACCGUUCGAAGUGUGGGUAGACCGCCAGACUUGGGACCGGGAGAGUCACGAAGUACUCCGGGGGUAGAGGUGAAAUUCUGUAAUCCUCGGGGGACUACCGGUGGCGAAGGCGUCGUGAUAGAACGGCUCCGACGGUGAGGGACGAAGCCCUGGGGCGCAAACCGGAUUAGAUACCCGGGUAGUCCAGGGUGUAAACGCUGCGGUCUUGGUGUCGGGAGUCCUACG
rnacentral:rRNA from 1 species